GGAGACUGGCUUCAACACCAUCAAUGCAGGUUUAUACAGGUAAAGCUGACUGGAGACUGGCUUUCACACCAUCAAUGCAGGUAAAGCUGACUGGAGACUGGCUUUCACACCAUCAAUGCAGGUAAAGCUGACUGGAGACUGGCUUUCACACCAUCAAUGCAGGUAAAGCUGACUGGAGACUGGCUUUCACACCAUCAAUGCAGGUAAAGCUGACUGGAGACUGGCUUUCACACCAUCAAUGCAGGUAAAGCUGACUGGAGACUGGCUUUCACACCAUCAAUGCAGGUAAAGCUGACUGGAGACUGGCUUUCACACCAUCAAUGCAGGUAAAGCUGACUGGAGACUGGCUUUCACACCAUCAAUGCAGGUAAAGCUGACUGGAGACUGGCUUUCACACCAUCAAUGCAGGUAAAGCUGACUGGAGACUGGCUUUCACACCAUCAAUGCAGGUAAAGCUGACUGGAGACUGGCUUUCACACCAUCAAUGCAGGUAAAGCUGACUGGAGACUGGCUUUCACACCAUCAAUGCAGGUAAAGCUGACUGGAGACUGGCUUUCACACCAUCAAUGCAGGUAAAGCUGACUGGAGACUGGCUUUCACACCAUCAAUGCAGGUAAAGCUGACUGGAGACUGGCUUUCACACCAUCAAUGCAGGUAAAGCUGACUGGAGACUGGCUUUCACACCAUCAAUGCAGGUAAAGCUGACUGGAGACUGGCUUUCACACCAUCAAUGCAGGUAAAGCUGACUGGAGACUGGCUUUCACACCAUCAAUGCAGGUAAAGCUGACUGGAGACUGGCUUUCACACCAUCAAUGCAGGUAAAGCUGACUGGAGACUGGCUUCAGCACCAUCAGUAGGCGUUGUUUGUCUGUUGUAAUAUACACUCAGAGGUCUAGUUUAGAUUGAAAUACCAAUUGAAACUGAUAUCAGCCUCCAUUGUAAUACAAGGACACACACACCACACAAGCACGCAUGCAAAACGCACACACACUUCAACAAACUCCCAGACCCCAUAUCCGUGAUUAUAUCAGCCCAAUGUAUCUCUGGCAUGUGCAGCACUACACCACACCAAGCACAGUGUUUAUGUUAAAGCACAUCCCAGUUAGAAGCAAUGGGAGGAACUGUUCAGAAUGCUAGCCAAUAGAAUCCACUAUUAACCAGGGUCCUCUAGACUCCAAGCCACUGAUAAAACACUGUCAAUCCAAAGCCGAAAGACAACUGACAACCCUCUCCAGUGGUUAAAAAGUGAUGUGUGAAAUGUUAAUGAAUAACAGUGUCUCUGUGCACUGUGGGGG